ensembl:snRNA
AUAAUACUUGGAGUUGUGCUGCUAUUUAAUGAGUGCAUAGUGAGGGGAGUACUGCUAAUACCUACACCACAUGCCUACAUCAACUAGAGCUUGCUUUACCUUGGUACAGUUUUUGGAUAA